rnacentral:rRNA from 1 species
GAUUUCUGGCUUGAAACAUUUUGCCGGCCACGGUUUCGUGUGUUAGUGCUUGGUGUUCUGGCCAUCCUUCCAAUCGCUAUUCAUUCUUCUUCAUUGAGGGGUGAGUGGUAUUGGAUCUUUUACUUUGAAAAAAUUAGAGUGUUUCAAGCAGGCUUUAUGCUAUGAAUACAUUAGCAUGGAAUAAUAAUUUAGGACUUCGGUUCUAUUUUGUUGGUUUCUAGGACUGAAGUAAUGAUUGAUAGGGAUAGUUGGGGGUGCUCGAAUUCAGCGGCCAGAGGUGAAAUUCUUGGAUUCGCUGAAGACGAACUCAUGCGAAAGCAUU